rnacentral:rRNA from 1 species
UACGUAGGUGGCAAGCGUUGUCCGGAAUUAUUGGGCGUAAAGCGCGCGCAGGCGGUUCCUUAAGUCUGAUGUGAAAGCCCACGGCUCAACCGUGGAGGGUCAUUGGAAACUGGGGAACUUGAGUGCAGGAGAGAAGAGUGGAAUUCCACGUGUAGCGGUGAAAUGCGUAGAGAUGUGGAGGAACGCCAGUGGCGAAGGCGACUCUUUGGCCUGUAACUGACGCUGAGGCGCGAAAGCGUGGGGAGCAAACAGG